rnacentral:rRNA from 1 species
CCUACGGGAGGCAGCAGUAAGGAAUAUUGGUCAAUGGACGCAAGUCUGAACCAGCCAUGCCGCGUGAAGGAUUAAGGCCCUCUGGGUUGUAAACUUCUUUUAUAGGGGACGAAAAAAGGGCAUUCUUGCUCACUUGACGGUACCCUAGGAAUAAGCACCGGCUAACUCCGUGCCAGCAGCCGCGGUAAUACGGAGGGUGCAAGCGUUAUCCGGAUUUACUGGGUUUAAAGGGUGCGUAGGUGGGUUGGUAAGUCAGUGGUGAAAUCUUCGAGCUUAACUCGGAAACUGCCAUUGAUACUAUCAAUCUUGAAUCAUCUAGAGGUAAGCGGAAUAUGUCAUGUAGCGGUGAAAUGCUUAGAUAUGACAUAGAACACCAAUUGCGAAGGCAGCUUACUAUGGAUGCAUUGACACUGAGGCACGAAAGCGUGGGGAGUCAAACAGGAUUAGAUACCCUGGUAGUCCACGCCCUAAACCGAUGGAUACUCGACAUUUGUGAUAUACAAUAAGUGUCUGAGCGAAAGCAUUAAGUAUCCCACCUGGAAGUACGACCGCAAGGUUGAAACUCAAAGGAAUUGACGGCGNGAGACGUAGACGACGACGACGACGAGGGAGGAGG